rnacentral:rRNA from 1 species
GACGAACGCUGGCGGCGUGCUUAACACAUGCAAGUCGUACGGUAAGGCCCUUUCGGGGGUACACGAGUGGCGAACGGGUGAGUAACACGCGAGUAACCUGCCCACAACUUUGGGAUAACGCUAGGAAACUGGUGCUAAUACUGGAUAUGUGCUCCUGCUGCAUGGUGGGGGUUGGAAAGCUCCGGCGGUUGUGGAUGGACUCGCGGCCUAUCAGCUUGUUGGUGGGGUAGUGGCCUACCAAGGCGGCGACGGGUAGCCGGCCUGAGAGGGUGACCGGCCACAUUGGGACUGAGAUACGGCCCAGACUCCUACGGGAGGCAGCAGUGGGGAAUAUUGCACAAUGGGCGCAAGCCUGAUGCAGCAACGCCGCGUGCGGGAUGACGGCCUUCGGGUUGUAAACCGCUUUCAGCAGGGACGAAGCUUUUUGUGACGGUACCUGCAGAAGAAGCACCGGCUAACUACGUG